rnacentral:rRNA from 1 species
UACGGGGGGGGUAAGCGUUGUUCGGAAUUAUUGGGCGUAAAGGGCGCGUAGGCGGCUUGGCAAGUGGAAGGUGAAAUCCCUCGGCUCAACCGAGGAACUGCCUUCCAGACUGCUUUGCUUGAGUCCGGGAGAGGUGAGUGGAAUUCCCAGUGUAGCGGUGAAAUGCGUAGAUAUUGGGAGGAACACCAGUGGCGAAGGCGGCUCACUGGACCGGAACUGACGCUGAGGCUCGAAAGUGUGGGGAUCAAACAGG